AUGACUUUCACUGUGUGUGGUAUAUUUGUUCAAUUGUUCCAGGCUAAUUCCUCAGCCUCCUUGGUUGGGCUGAGAUUUGGGGACCAGCUACUCCAGAUCAAUGGUGAAAACUGUGCGGGCUGGAGCUCUGAUAAGGCUCACAAGGUGCUCAAGCAGGCAUUUGGAGAGAUCACCAUGACCAUUUGUGACAGCCCCUUUGAACGGACAGUUACUAUGCAUAAGGACAGCAGCGGGCCUGUUGGCUUUAUCUUUAAAGUGGAAAAAUCACAUCCGUAGUGAAAGAUAGUUCUGCUGCCAGAAACGGCCUUCUCACUGAUCACAUCUGUGAGAUCAAUGGACAGAAUGUUAUUGCCUUGAAGGAUGCUCAGAUUGCAGAUAUACUGUCAACAGCUGGGACUGUGGUUACCAUCACAAUCAUGCCUGCUUUUAUCUUCGAACAUAUUAUUAAACGGAUGGUUCCCAGCAUUAUGAAAAGCCUGAUGGAUCACACCAUUCCUGAAGUUUCAAAACCUUGUACAGUGUAUCACAGCUGA